UUACUCUUCUGAGACACUGUUCAUAAUGCCUUGUAUAUAGAUUGCAAAGCAGUGUUGUGUUGGGAGGGGCUGAUUUGAAGACCUGCAUGUUUCCAAGACCAUGGACAGAUUUUACACAAAUGACAAUAUGCGUGGUGGUGAAACUCGUGCAAAGAGGGCGCACAACAAGACUGCUCUGAUAGCGCUGUUCAUCUUUGUAGAAGCUGUUGGCGACACGCACAGAGGCCACGGAUGAUGAAACAAGGACCGCAAUGGCUUUAAAAUUAAAACAGGCUCCAGCGCUGAGUAGUAAAGGGGGCUAUCAAAACCCCACAAGAGAGUGAUGUUUAUAUUGUUUCCCCUUGUGUUUUGCCGAGCUGGUUGUUUUAUUUAUUUGAUAUGUCCUACAUAAAAUAUGUAUAUAUUUAUAUUGUAACUUAGUAGUUUUGUUCUAUUAAAAUAGCCCUCAUUUUUUAAUAUUGUAUGUAUAUUUUUACAUUUUUAAACAUGAUUUAAAAACAUUGCGCAUUUAUAUUUGUGAUGGUUGGAUAAUGUUUGAAAAAAUGUUUUUAUUCAGGUUCAAUUAUCGUUUUGGUUAAUUUUAACAACAAAAGGUGUAUUUAUAUCUGCAGCUAACAUAAGUAUGACUGUUAUUGAAACCUAUUUUUAUAUUAAAAAAAAAACGAUGUAAAUUUUCACACCCUGGACUAUCACUAAUCAAAUGCAUUUUCACAACAUCCUGGAACUACACAAAGGUAAGGAUCACAGGUUAAAUGAAUUGAAGAGAACCUCAAUGUUGAAUAGACGUCUAGAUGUUCAAAUGAUCACAAGCUAUUAGAGCGAUUAGCGCUAAUCACGCUAAUAGCUAUUAGCCAUCAUUCGAACGUCUACGCAAUAAAUGUCUAAAAAUCUUUCAAAUCUAGACGUCUAAUAAAUGUCUAAUAGACGUCUAUCCGGUAGACGUCUAA